ensembl:lncRNA
GUUUGUGUGUUUUGGUGACAGGUGGAUACAUUUAAACAAAAAAAACAAAAAAAAACAGAUGCUUUGGUAUUUGCCCUCCGUUUUCAAGGUGAUGUCUCUGUGGGUGACACAGCCAGACCAAGGAGCCAUGAUGGAUCUCGACGCUGUGACGCGUUCCUGAAACUCUCCAGUACAAGUUACUUGCACAUCCCCAAACGAAAAAAAGAUUAACUUUAAACGUAUUACCCCCACCAACCCCUCCCUACUCUCCCCGAACAACUGCAGGUCGACACACUAGUGUAUGUUGUGAUUUAAAAAGAAAAAUCAAGCUUUUGAGAUCACCGGGUUUUCAUUUCGGUAUACGCGAGCGUUACGGAUCCCGCGCAGGUUUCCGGUGGGUGUGCACAAAAGCCGGCGCGAUGGACAGAACUGUGUGUAAUCUUUUCUUAUUUCCAAAAAAGCCUUAUUGUUAUUGUAACAUUACGAAAACAUUAAUGUUGUAUUAUGACGACUUAUUUUACACUACAUAGUUGACUUUUUAUUAUGUUUUUGGUUGUUUUGUUUUUUUCAGUUUAGUUUUCUAACAGAUGUUGUAUCAUUUUUUAAAAUUAGCAGGAAAAGAGAAAAGCUUAUCUGUUCAUAUUAUGUUUAAAGACAUUCUAUUUUUUCACUGUAGAAAUGUUAAGUAUAACAUGGCUGUGUGCUUGUGCGCAUAUAUGUAUGCAUUCAUGUGUACUGCGCACUCACACAUUCAUAUAUAUUUAAAUGCAGAAUAUGAAGAUAUAUCCAAACCUUAGUAUGAAUUAUAUGUUUCUCCUCAUCAUCUUUUUUGUUUUUUAAACAUGUCAGUUCUCAUGCUUGAAAAUAUGAUUUUAUUUCAUUUUGUUUUUCUUUGUGUGUGUGGUUUUUUUAAUAUAUACAUACAUAUAUAUAUAUAUAUAUAAAUAUAUAAUCUUAGAGACCUUGUGUGUUUCUUAAUGGAAGCUGAGGGAAGCACUAUGCCUGAAUCCUCUGCCUCCACUCACCAUUGCUCUUCUACCUGAGGGUAGAACCUGUGCCGAUGAGGAGAUGCCAUUUUUUAUUUCUAUUUUUUAUUUUUUUGUCGUUUUUUCUUUUUCUUUUGAGCAACUGUUGAUGAAGUGAUCUACAAAAUAUCAAUCAAAUAUUUCAAAACUGACGAUUUUUUUCUUACCUAUAUAGGACCAACUUGACGAACUGUAUCUUGUAUGAUCAUGGUCAGGCUAUGACCCUCGCAGUUUAAGAAAAUCCUCUUCAAGUUCUCUUUUCUUUUUUAAAUUUUUCAGACAUAAUGUGGCCAUUCAUUUUGUUAGAUAUCCACUAUGAUCUAGAGUAUACCUGUAAAUAAACAAAUAUAUAGAUUAUAUGUAUUUGUAUCAUUUGACCUUCAAGAUCUCAUACUUUAGGUGGGGACAGAAAUACAAAAAUCAAAGUCCUUCUCACAUCCUGGUGGUUGUAGAGCCUGCUUUCUGAAACCUCUCUUCUCCAGUCCUUCCUCCCUGGUCUUUAAUUACCACUCACUUUUCUUCUGACUUUAAUUUCCCCUGCUAGCAGUUGAAAUGGGAAACAUGCCAGCCUCUGUUCUCAUACCUAUAGCCUCAAACAGAGCACGAAAUCAGCACCAGUGAUCUGCUGGUAUAAUUUGACCAAGCCUGGGAGGUUAGUUCUUUCUGUCAACUAUUUGAAUUGCUAAUCAAUCAUUAUUUCAAGGACCUGUUACAUUCUUAUUCUAGGUGUAAGACAGAGUGGAGCAACUAAAGGGUGUUUUUGAAAAAGAAAUAUUGUCUUAAAAUAAUUCUCAAACAAAGGAUUAAUCACAAAGGUGUAAAUUCUUAAAGCCACAGCUACGGUAAAAACGCUGGAGGCAUCCUUCAUUCCUUAACACUUUCCACAAAACCCCCAGAAGAUGUGCAACUGUUUAACUCCCUAAAAUGCCAAGGUGUUAAUCCAUAAAUAUAUCAUUAGCUGAGGAGCAAAUACAGCUAUGCUAAAGGCCAGACAUGGUUCAGUUCCAACAUGACACGUUGAUUUAUUGUCUCCCCGGUGCAUUUUUUUUAAGCCUGGAACAGAACCAUACUGUUUUUUUCUUUGGUUUUUGUUUUUGUCUUUGACCAUGCUUCAUUUUGGGAUGCAGAAAGAAACCAGGACUCAGUGAAAGAUAGCAGAGUGAUGCAACCAAGGAAAGACUGAGACAACCAAAAACGUGCUGCAAAUUCACAUUUCCAGCAUGUCAUUUCUGAACAGUGGGAACCUUGAGAUGUUUCAUAAUGAACUCAAAGCCUAAGAUGAAAGACUCUGGAAUUCAGUGAGGCUGAUGAGAAAGGGCCCAGGCCAAAACUGAAACCAUGGAAGUCUUUCAAAGCUUGUGCAAUGUGUUACGUUUUUUUUUUUUUGACUUAAUGUGAAGAUGUUAGGCUUUUGAAAACAAACCGCCAAAUUUGCAGGAGUAUGUUGAAUAUUUCAGGGGAAGAGGGGAAAUAACAAAAGAUGAACCCUAACUUAAUCAAUUAAUCAAAAUAACAGAACGUAUACAGUACGACAAAUUGGAAAAAAUAAAAAACAACCCAAAUUCAGAAAAAUACUUUUUUUGUAUGAGGGCCAAGUGCUAUCACUUUCAAACUGUUACUUCUAACUGAAACAAUAAUUGGUUUAAAGCCACUGUGUAUGUAGAUAUGUUGACUUUGUAUUAAAGAAAUGUUGUCUGAAAA